rnacentral:rRNA from 1 species
GAUGAACGCUGGCGGCGUGCCUAAUACAUGCAAGUCGAGCGAACAGACGAGGAGCUUGCUCCUCUGACGUUAGCGGCGGACGGGUGAGUAACACGUGGAUAACCUACCUAUAAGACUGGGAUAACUUCGGGAAACCGGAGCUAAUACCGGAUAAUAUAUUGAACCGCAUGGUUCAAUAGUGAAAGACGGUUUUGCUGUCACUUAUAGAUGGAUCCGCGCCGCAUUAGCUAGUUGGUAAGGUAACGGCUUACCAAGGCGACGAUGCGUAGCCGACCUGAGAGGGCGAUCGGCCACACUGGAACUGAGACACGUUCCAGACUCCUACGGGAGGCAGCAGUAGGGAAUCUUCCGCAAUGGGCGAAAGCCUGACGGAGCAACGCCGCGUGAGUGAUGAAGGUCUUCGGAUCGUAAAACUCUGUUAUUAGGGAAGAACAAAUGUGUAAGUAACUAUGCACGUCUUGACGGUACCUAAUCAGAAAGCCACGGCUAACUACGUG